rnacentral:rRNA from 1 species
AUUGAACGCUGGCGGCAGGCCUAACACAUGCAAGUCGAGCGGAGCGGCGGACGGGUGAGUAAUGAAUAGGAAUCUGCCUGGCAGUGGGGGAUAGCGUAAGGAAACGGGCGCUAAUCCAGCAUCCUAUCAGAUGAGCCUAGGUCGGGUUGGCUAGUGGGUGGGGUAAAGGCCUACCAAGGCGACGAUCCGUAACUGGUCUGAGGGGAGGAUCAGUCACACGGGACCUGAGACACGGUCCAGAGUCCUACGGGAGGCAGCAGUGGGGAAUAGUGGACAAUGGGCGAAAGCCGGAUGCAGCCAUGCGGCGUGUGUGAAGAAGGUCUUCGGAUUUUAAAUCAUUUUAAGUUGUGAGGCGUUACCAACAGAAGAAGCACCGGCUAACUACGUGCCAGCAGCCGCGGUAAUAC